UGGGGAAUCUUGCGCAAUGCGCGAAAGCGUGACGCAGCAACGCCGCGUGGGGGAAGACGGCCUUCGGGUUGUAAACCCCUUUCAGGAGGGACGAAGGUUCACCGGUGAAUAGCCGUGUGGAUUGACGGUACCUCCAGAAGAAGCUCCGGCUAACUACGUGCCAGCAGCCGCGGUAAUACGUAGGGAGCAAGCGUUGUCCGGAAUCAUUGGGCGUAAAGCGCGCGUAGGCGGCCCUGUAAGUCCGUUGUGAAAGUCAAAGGCUCAACCUUUGAAAGCCGAUGGAUACUGCAGGGCUAGAGUCCGGAAGAGGCGAGUGGAAUUCCUGGUGUAGCGGUGGAAUGCGCAGAUAUCAGGAGGAACACCAAUAGCGAAGGCAGCUCGCUGGGACGGUACUGACGCUAAGGCGCGAAAGCGUGGGGAGCGAACAG
rnacentral:rRNA from 1 species